ensembl:lncRNA
UUUUUUUUUUCCUUGGGAGUAGUAGAUAUUAUCUUUGACUGAAUUCAUCUGAAACAAACAAAGCUGCCUUCAUCAGCUAAGAAAUAUUGGAUCCACAGACUCUUGUCCCCCAUUUGCGCUUUUCUUUUUCUUCAUGUCACAUCUAUCUGACAUGAGAGAAGAGAAAAAAAAAUAAACCCAAGCAUUUAUUUUAAUUUCUUCUUUUUCUGUUCAAGAUAUUGAGUUAAAAUCUAAAAUGCUUAUUCAAAUUAAAUUCCUAAAAAUACUGAAGGCUUACUUCUAAUUGAAAAUAUGAUUUGAAUAAAACUAGUCUGUGAGCUGGUUAGUCUGCCUUGGAUGUUUUCUCACAAAUUCCUUUUUCUAAGAUAGUAGCACAUUGCUGUGCCCUCUGUGCCAGACGAAGCCCUGGAUGCACACAAGGCUCCUUUCACAGGUCUGACUUCUACUCUGAGCAGCAGCUCUGCUGCAGCUCUUCCAGUGAUCAGUGUCACAAUACCUGGACAGCUCUCACUGCCCUGUUUUUUCACAAUCUUUACUUUAAAAAAAAAAAAUUCUAGAUUUUUCAAGUUAGAAGUGAGUUUUUAGCUUUUACAGUCACAGAGAAGAUUUGCAUCUGUGACCUUAACACAAUCUUUAGGGUUGGCCAACAGAAAGCAAAUGAAAAGCCAAAGAUAGUGUAAUUUCAUGAUUAUGGCAGUUUUAGCACAUGAGAUUGAUGGGAAUUUCCUGAAUGGAAUAUCCCUUUGGCCAGGUCAGUUGUCCCAGCCACACUCCCUCAUGGCUCCCUCACUGCCAGAGCAUGGGAAAUUCAACAGUCCUUGAUUUAGGGUGAUCUCAGCAACAAUUAAAGCAUCCCUGUGCCAUCAAUGUCAUUCUCAUCCUAAAUCCAACCACAGCACUGCACCAGUUACUGGGAAGAAAAUUAACUCUGUCCCAGACAAAAGCAGGACAAAAGAUAAGACUUACUUUAACUUUAUCAAAUAGGACUAAAUUUGCCAAGAGUUCUAAAAGAAGUGGGAAAUGCUCCUUGUUAAGGAGACACACCUGAUCGCUGUCCCACAGAAUUCAGAAAUCAGCAGAAGAUUCCGUGUACGUCCCAAAGCACUGGGACAUGUAGCUCUGCUGGAUGCAAAUCACAGGCCACCCACUGCCACCUCCAGCAGCAAGUCCCAUGCCACUCAUUUCUGUUCUUGGUUUUAAGGCAGCGGUAACAACGCCCAGGACAGAUCUGUAUCCAUGGCAUGCACCCUAAAAUAACUGCAGCACUACAGCUAAUCCUUUCUUAAUUAUUGUUUUUUAAAUGGGACAAUUCUUCUGCUGUAUAUUCACAAGUGCAGCAACAUGGCAGGGGAGUUGAUGUGCAAAGACAUGACUGGGUGUUAUUCCCUACAAAAACAAUUAUCUGCUGGCUAAUUUGGAUCACUACAUUGGUGUAAGUGCUGGAAAUAGUUCAAAUCAAUUGUUACAAUAAUGUACCAACUCAUGGAGAAUUUAAGAAAAAAUGGAAUUCCAGGAUGUGAAAAAUUACUGAAUUACAGUGCAAUCUUUAGUGUUUUAAUUGAGCAGCUUUCUCAGAAUAUGGGGGGAAUGACUCAUGCAGUUCCCCACCUCCACAAGCAAUUUUUGCCAACCCAUCUGCCACCCCAAAUGUUUCGUCCAAAGCAACCCCAUCAGUGGACUUCUGCUCCCUCUGCUGGAUCUGCAAAAAUAGGGAUUAAUAGACCCAAAUCUGCUUCCUUGGGAGGCAAGGGCACGACUUCCAUUGGGUUCAACAGAAGAAUGAUUCUGCCCUAGCACUGCCUCCAAAGUGGAGCUGACAUCACUGCUAACACUGACUUGCAAAUAAGUAGCCAAUAAAUAGCUGUAAUACUUUUAAAUAAAAUUACUUUUAAACAAAACCUCCUAAGACCACGGAGGGAUAUCAGUUAAAUACAAAAAUGAGAUUAUAAUUUUGGCGAUGCUCUCUGAAGAGAAGUGUGACCAAAAGGCGAUGUCAGCACCCAUGUAAGUUUUCAGUGUUUCUUUCAACCUUUCCCAGUUGUUUCCUCCUAGCCCAUGAUCCUGCUGCAACGCAGAGUGAUGGCUCAUUGCCACAUGUGAUGGGGGACAAAGAAAACAUUCUCACAGUGGACAAUAAAGUUUUGCUUCUGCAUUCCAAGUCAGAAACAAAUAAAUACUGAAUUCCAUUAAAACCUCUGUUCACGGGACUUCUCCUGUAGCCUCCACUACAGAUGCUUUUAGUGUCUGACUGCUUAGAAAUUACAAGUGUUGAACUGUUUAGUGACUCUCAUCCUCCCAUCAGUACACUGAUCUGGUGAUAAAAUGCAAAGGGCUUGUGGUAUUUGCAUUUUUACUCAGUUUAGUCACAGAUCACAAAAUAAAAUAGUAAAUUGAGCUACCAGGCUUCCAAUUUGCAGCAACCAAGCCUUCUAAAUAAUCAUCUGUGCUUAAAUACACAGAGCCCUUCAAAUUUAAUAAUUUCUUUGUCAACUAAAACAAAAAUUCCAUCCCCCCCAAAUGCUUCCACACAAUGACUGCUGUAAAGAAAUAAAUCAAAGUGCAACAUUUUCUCCUUAAACUCCAGAUAAUUACAAAUAUCCAGUGAACUGAAAUGCUAAAAUCACCCACAGUAUUCCUCCUAAGCUGUCAAACACUGUUGCUCCAGUUUCAUAAAAGAGAAUUGAGAGCUGUUUUCUUGUAGAAAAGAUCAGAAAUCCUGCCAUGGUACAGGUGCCUGUGAGCAUUACCAGUGCCAGCAAUUAGCAUCAUUACUGGCAGCAUCUGAAAAGCAGCCAAAUUCAUGGAGACUGAACAAAUCUCCCACUGCUCAGGUUAUUCCUUGCAAGUCAGGGCUAAAGCACAUCCGUGACUCUUUCAGGGGAAGCUGCAGUGCUCUUGUCACACCAUUUAUCUACUCACUUCCACAACUUGCUCUGAAAAAUUCUGUUUCCCCCAAAAUAUGGGGACCUGGCACACAAAAUGCCAGGUCUCUUUUUAUCAUAAAUUAUAUUGCUAGAUAUAUGCAGGAGAACUACUUCAGCACCACACAACUGUGGUUGUGUCAGAAUUAGGUCACUCAGAUGCUUAAGUUGUUAUUGAUGUAGCCCUGAAUUGCUUCCUCCUGUAAAUUUAGUUUGUACACUCAAACCAUUUUUUGAUAAACACAAGCAUAAAUCAACACAAAUUCCAGGCAGGUUCUGUGAUGUCUUACUUAGAAUUUGUAAUGUGCUAGGACAAAUGUUACAGUUUCCCUUGACCUAUUUUAAAAAUAUUUAAAUGUUUAAAAUAUGAUUCCUUUCAUUCAUAUGCUAAUGACUAUAAAUACUGCUUCAGCUGACACAUUACAAAAGCCUAAAUAGAUUUCACCAGGACUUUACAUAUUCUUAGUAAAUUAGGUAUAACAGUUAGUAAAUAGAUGUGCUGAGGGCAUUGUAAAGUUGCCAGUCAGCUGUGCAAUAAUAAAGGGACUAUGCAGUCCUAUUAAAAAAAAAAAAAAAAAAAAAAAAAAAAA